AGAGUUUGAUCCUGGCUCAGGAUGAACGCUGGCGGCGUGGAUAAGGCAUGCAAGUCGUGUGGGUUUAGACCCACGGCAAACGGGUUAGUAAUACAUAGGAACGUACCCUCGAGUCUCGAAUAACCUUCCGAAAGGGAGGAUAAUGCGAGAUAGUUCUCUUCGGAGUAAAGAUUUAUCGCUUGAGGAGCGGCCUGUGUCCUAUCAGCUUGUUGGUGAGGUAAAGGCUCACCAAGGCUAUGACGGGUAGGGGAUGUGAGAGCAUGAUCCCCAACAUUGGAACUUAGACACUGUCCAAACACCUACGGGUGGCUGCAGUCGAGAAUCUUCGGCAAUGGGCGAAAGCCUGACCGAGCGACGCCGCGUGGAGGAUGAAGGCCUUCGGGUUGUAAACUUCUUUUGCAAGGGAAGAAACCGUGUUCGGCACGGAGGAUCUUAUUAUAUUUUUAUAAUUGGGUUUUUCGUGUUGGAUGCGGCUGACGGUACCUUGCGAAUAAGGGGUUGCUAACUCUGUGCCAGCAGCAGCGGUAAUACAGAGACCCCAAGCGUUAUCCGGAUUUAUUGGGCGUAGAGCGUGUGUAGGCGGCGAUGAUAGUCAGAUGUUAAAUUCCAGCGCUCAACGUCGGAGCUGCAUCUGAAACGUCAUCACUAGAGACAAGUAGAGGUUCAUGGAACAUAUGGUGUAGCAGUGAAAUGCGUUGAUAUCAUAUGGAACGCCAAAGGCGAAGGCAGUGAACUGGGCUUUGUCUGACGCUGAGACACGAAAGCGUGGGUAGCGAACGGGAUUAGAUACCCCGGUAGUCCACGCCGUAAACGUUGCCUACUAGGUCUGGGGAGUAUCGACCCUCUCCGGACCGAAGCUAACGCGUUAAGUAGGCCGCCUGGGAAGUACGAGCGCAAGCUUAAAACUCAAAGGAAUAGACGGGGACCCGCACAAGCGGUGGAGCACGCGGUUUAAUUCGUCUCUAAGCGAGGAACCUCACCAGGGCUUGAAAUACUGCUGCAAGCUCCAGAAAUGGAGCCGCCUUCGAGGGUGCAGUAUAGGUGUUGCAUGGUCGUCGUCAGCUCGUGCCGUGAGGCGUUCCAUUAAGUUGGGGAACGAGCGCAACCUCUGUCGAGUGUUACAAGUGUCACUCGAGACUGCCCGGCCCAAAGUGUAUUUUUCAGAAAGUACAUUUCGGGCCGGGAGGAAGGUGGAGAUGACGUCAGAUCAGCAUGGCCCUUACGUCCUGGGCGACACGCAUGCUACAAUGGCCGGUACAAUGGGUAGCGAACCCGCGAGGGGGAGCCAAUCCAGAAAAGCCGGUCCCAGUUCGGAUUGGAGUCUGCAACUCGACUCCAUGAAGCCGGAAUCGCUAGUAAUCGUGGAUCAGCAUGCCACGGUGAAUACGUUCUCG
rnacentral:rRNA from 1 species